UUGACUUCAAAACCAAAAUCCUGUUUUUGUUUACACUAGAGUGUUUCACACGAAUUUACUGAUAACUCUCUCCCCCCCCCAUUUUUCGCACCUAUAAAAGAUUAGAACUUGGGGGAAAAACACCCAAAAUUUUCCCAAAAUGAAGGUUUGCAGUGCAGUUCUUUUUGUGGCAGUUUUCGCUUUUCUGUACCUUCAGUCUACAGAAGCGAAGGUAUCAAAAUGUUACCACUGCUUGAUGUCAUGCGAUAACCCUGUAGAAGUACAAACCUGUCCGUCAACUGGCGACUUUAACUGCCUUUUAGCCAAAAUUGAGACUGGGACCCAAAAUGACGAAGUCAGAGGAUGCGUUGCUAGCGACGACAGUACAACGAAACAAUAUUGUGAUCAGAUAAACAGCAUGCCUGGCGGAAAAUGCUACAUUUGCGACUCGGAUCUUUGUAAUUCCGCCUAACACUGUUACUCUGUCCGUAAACAAUUAAUAAAGAAUUUGUUACGUAAAA